UCGUCGACGUUACAUCUUCAGGAAUAGGGAAACUCGCUGGGAACACAGGGAGAAACGAAUCCUCGCACUAUCCUCAGACUAUCCUUGAACGUUCUGUAACACAAAAAGGGUUCGACGGCACCCGGGCUCCUCGAAGCCGCCGAUACCGAGACAAGGAGUUCGACACGGUGGCCAGCUACUCCGGAGGGAUCGGUGACGAGCGAACAGCAGCUGGAGCACUUAGCACCGAAGGAACGCGUCUCCAGGGGGAAUCGGCGAGACUUCCGGCGGCGGCAGAGGAGAUCCUCUCUGAACGUCCUCCGAUGAGACCGUCCCCGUAAAUUUCGACAAUAAGAGGGUGCGCGCCGGCCGUCAAACGCUUCUAUUUUUAGGGCCAACCGGCCAUUAGACGCCGCUGAUGGCAGUUAAUCAGGAUUCGAGGCUGCCAUUAAUAAGAAAUUAUUCUUGGUCUUCUCGCUUUGCUCAGAAUUCGAGGAAUGCUUCUCCAGAUAGUUAAUCUUUAUCCUAAUCGUUGUUAAUUUUAGUAAAUAGAAUUAUUUAGAUUAAAUAGUUUCCAAUCCAUCCAAAAUAGCUACUGUUAACCCUUUGCACUCGAGAGGUGACUCUCAGUCACCGUUAGGUCUCACGCAGCGAAUCUACAAUACCUAAUGUAUCUUUAAGUUCAAUUUCUUUGGAACUCGAAGUGUCGAUAAAGUAAUUGUCUGUGAGGCAAAAGUGACCUGCUUCUAAAAUCUAGAUGGCUUAGAAUGCUAAUAUAAUAAUAAUAUAUAAUAGAAUGCUAAGAAAGCACCUCGAGUGCAAAGGGUUAAAUAAAAUCUGUCGUGGAAGCUUCCCAACCUAAGGGCUCGAUAAUCUAAAAAUUCGACCGCGUUAAAUACAAUUCGCCGAUGACCGACGACCAAUGGUACGAUAACAGCGGCCAGCGAUAUCGCUGUAGCUAAUUAAUUCGAGCCAGCCUUGAACUCUCAGCGUUAACCAGAACAAAGAUCGCGCGUAGAUGUCUUGAAAGCGAAUACCGUUCGAGAUUCGCACGGAUCGUCGCUGUAGGAGCGCCCCGGCCUUUGCGACGCGAUUAGGAAAACUCGUUAUCUCCCGCUGUAUGAGGAAGAAAGAUUUAUCUCGUUGUUUACUAAACACCGUGUCUCGAGUUAAUAGGAAUCGCGGAACGAAGUUUACAAACUCCUGCCCCAGCCUUUCGAGAUAUACGCACGAAUAAUACACAAAAUCGCCGGCCUUUUUUUAUUUAUUUUAUUAUCCUCGUUCGUUCCGUGAUAGUAAACCGUUUCAUUCAUGCUCUGCCCGCCGCUAGAGAAUGUUUAUUAUGACGUCGGCGGCGAAAGGAGAUAGAUAGGCUCGACAGAGAAGAAAUUCACCGACGUUUCGUGGGACCUGAACAGACCAAGGAUCUUAUACCCUCAAGCUUGGAUCACGAGAAACAGAGGAGGAUCUCUGACACCAAAAGCUGAGAAACGAAGCCAGUUCCUGGAUCUUACAGCCACUUUCCAAGAACGAUCACAUCUACAGUCCCAAACAACUGCUGACCUACUACAGGACCUGGACCCACGACUGCCUUUGAAACGAGUCGCCAAACAACCGACACUUUUUAAAUAAUUAAUUACUCUUGAAACAAGCACUGUUUGAAACGCGUAAGUCGGGCGGACGGUAGAUGUCGAGGGAUAAAUAGAGCAACCAAU